rnacentral:rRNA from 1 species
CGGUCCUAAGGUAGCGAAAUUCCUUGUCGGGUAAGUUCCGACCCGCACGAAAGGCGUAACGAUUUGGGCACUGUCUCAACAACAGACUCGGUGAAAUUGUAAUUCCGGUGACGAUGCCGGAUACCUGCGACAGGACGGAAAGACCCCAUGGAGCUUUACUGUAGCUUGACAUUGGGUCUUGGUACUACAUGUACAGGAUAGGU